rnacentral:tRNA from 1 species
GGAUUUCUGGCAGAGUUGGUCAAUGCUCCUGACUGAAGAUCAGGUGAUUAAGGUUCGAUUCCUUAGGAAUCCA